rnacentral:rRNA from 1 species
ACUGUGACGGUAGUUACCAGAAAGGGACGGCUAACUACGUGCCAGCAGCCGCGGUAAUACGUAGGUCCCGAGCGUUGUCCGGAUUUAUUGGGCGUAAAGCGAGCGCAGGCGGUUUGAUAAGUCUGAAGUUAAAGGCUGUGGCUCAACCAUAGUUCGCUUUGGAAACUGUCAAACUUGAGUGCAGAAAGGGAGAGUGGAAUUCCAUGUGUAGCGGUGAAAUGCGUAGAUAUAUGGAGGAACACCGGUGGCGAAAGCGGCUCUCUGGUCUGUAACUGACGCUGAGGCUCGAAAGCGUGGGGAGCGAACAGGAUUAGAUACCCUGGUAGUCCACGCCGUAAACGAUGAGUGCUAGGUGUUGGAUCCUUUCCGGGAUUCAGUGCCGAAGCUAACGCAUUAAGCACUCCGCCUGGGGAGUACGACCGCAAGGUUGAAACUCAAAGGAAUUGACGGGGGCCCGCACAAGCGGUGGAGCAUGUGGUUUAAUUCGAAGCAACGCGAAGAACCUUACCAGGUCUUGACAUCCCGAUGCUAUUUCUAGAGAUAGAAAGUUACUUCGGUACAUCGGUGACAGGUGGUGCAUGGUUGUCGUCAGCUCGUGUCGUGAGAUGUUGGGUUAAGUCCCGCAACGAGCGCAACCCCUAUUGUUAGUUGCCAUCAUUCAGUUGGGCACUCUAGCGAGACUGCCGGUAAUAAACCGGAGGAAGGUGGGGAUGACGUCAAAUCAUCAUGCCCCUUAUGACCUGGGCUACACACGUGCUACAAUGGUUGGUACAACGAGUUGCGAGUCGGUGACGGCGAGCUAAUCUCUUAAAGCCAAUCUCAGUUCGGAUUGUAGGCUGCAACUCGCCUACAUGAAGUCGGAAUCGCUAGUAAUCGCGGAUCAGCACGCCGCGGUGAAUACGUUCCCGGGCCUUGUACACACCGCCCGUCACACCACGAGAGUUUGUAACACCCGAAGUCGGUGAGGUAACCUUUUGGAGCCAGCCGCCUAAGGUGGGACAGAUGAUUGGGGUGAAGUCGUAACAAGGUAGCCGUAUCGGAAGGUGCGGCUGGAUCACCUCCUUUCUAA